rnacentral:rRNA from 1 species
AUUGAACGCUGGCGGCAGGCCUAACACAUGCAAGUCGAACGGUAACAGGAAGAAGCUUGCUUCUUUGCUGACGAGUGGCGGACGGGUGAGUAAUGUCUGGGAAACUGCCUGAUGGAGGGGGAUAACUACUGGAAACGGUAGCUAAUACCGCAUAAUGUCGCAAGACCAAAGAGGGGGACCUUCGGGCCUCUUGCCAUCGGAUGUGCCCAGGUGGGAUUAGCUAGUAGGUGGGGUAACGGCUCACCUAGGCGACGAUCCCUAGCUGGUCUGAGAGGAUGACCAGCCACACUGGAACUGAGACACGGUCCAGACUCCUACGGGAGGCAGCAGUGGGGAAUAUUGCACAAUGGGCGCAAGCCUGAUGCAGCUAUGCCGCGUGUAUGAAGAAGGCCUUCGGGUUGUAAAGUACUUUCAGCGGGGAGGAAGGGAGUAAAGUUAAUACCUUUGCUCAUUGACGUUACCCGCAGAAGAAGCACCGGCUAACUCCGUG